rnacentral:rRNA from 1 species
AAUGAACGCUGGCGGCGUGGAUUAGGCAUGCAAGUCGGACGCGUGCAGCAAUGUACGAGUGGCGACCUGGUUAGUACAAGUUGGGUAACCUGCCCGAAAGUGGGGAACAACCUCUCGAAAGAGGGGCUAAUACCGCAUGUGGUUUGGGGUGCUUUGGCUCCCUUAACUAAAGCAGCGAUGCGCUUUCGGAUGGGCCCGACUCCCAUUAGUUAGUUGGUGGGGUAACGGCUCACCAAGACCGCGGUGGGUAGCUGGU